rnacentral:rRNA from 1 species
GACGAACGCUGGCGGCGUGCCUAAUACAUGCAAGUCGAGCGGACUGAAUGGGAGCUUGCUCUUGUUCGGUCAGCGGCGGACGGGUGAGUAACACGUGGGCAACCUGCCCGCAAGACCGGGAUAACUCCGGGAAACCGGAGCUAAUACCGGAUAACACCGAAGACCGCAUGGUCUUUGGUUGAAAGGCGGCGCAAGCUGCCACUUGCGGAUGGGCCCGCGGCGCAUUAGCUAGUUGGUGAGGUAACGGCUCACCAAGGCGACGAUGCGUAGCCGGCCUGAGAGGGUGAACGGCCACACUGGGACUGAGACACGGCCCAGACUCCUACGGGAGGCAGCAGUAGGGAAUCUUCCGCAAUGGGCGAAAGCCUGACGGAGCGACGCCGCGUGAGCGAAGAAGGCCUUCGGGUCGUAAAGCUCUGUUGUGAGGGACGAAGGAGCGCCGUUUGAAGAAGGCGGCGCGGUGACGGUACCUCACGAGGAAGCCCCGGCUAACUACGUG